rnacentral:lncRNA from 1 species
GCAUGUAGUGAAAGAGUUAGACAUCUCAUUGCAUAAUGACAUUCAAGAAACCUCUAUGCUUAUUUUUGACGGGGUGAAAGAGCUAUGCUUAUUCUAAUCGAGAUCACAACUCAAAGGGACUACCUAAAGAGGACAUUUCUAUUUUUUUAAAAAGGUGUGCUCCAAUACUGUGAAAAUACUCUGAAUUUAUUUAUUUUUGGCAAAUAAAAAAAAAUCAGAGAAUAUUUUCAUAGUACUGGAGCACACGACUUGGCAAGGUGUAAUAUAUGCACAAACACAAGAAGUUAGCUCUACCUUGGUUAUUUUUGUGAACAUACUAUUUUUUUGUUUAUCAGUUCUUAUUAUAAUACUGAUAGCUGUGCAAAAGACUAUUUAUUUGAAAACUAAACCUGUUCAGCAAGUUAAAUCAGCAAAAGGUACUCUCUUUGCCUAAGGUUGUGAGUUCGAGUCUCCCCAAGAACAAGGUGGGAAGUUCUUGGAGGGAAGGAUGCCGGNNN